CCUACGGGGGGCAGCAGUGGGGAAUAUUGCACAAUGGGCGAAACCCUGAUGCAGCGACGCCGCGUGAGUGAAGAAGGACUUCGUUAUGUAAAGCUCUAUCAGCAGGGAAGAAACACCGACCUUACGCUUACCAGACGGUUCCUGAGUAAGAAGCCCUGGCCGAAUACGUGCCAGCAGCCGCGGUGAUUCGUAGGGGGGAAGGGGUAUCCGGAAUUUCUGGGUGUAAAGGGGGCGUAGACGGUAUGCCAAGUCUGGCGUGAAAAGCCGGGGGUUAACUGCGGAACUGCUGUGGAAACUGGCGAACUAGAGUGCGGGAAGGGUAGGCGGAAUGCGUAGUGUAGCGGUGAAAUGCGUAGAUAUUAGGAGGAACACCGAUGGCGAAGGCAGCUUACUGGACCGUAACUGACGUUGAUGCUCGAAAGCGUGGGGAGCGAACAGGAUUAGAUACCCGAGUAGUC
rnacentral:rRNA from 1 species